AUGUAUGGUACCCCUGAAGGGCGGUGCCCUGUCCCUUCGAUGAAUCUCUGCAAGGAGAAUCUGUUCAUUUCUGGUGACCCAAUGGAUAAGCAUGUAGGUGCUACCCUUGUCUAUAUGGGAGGCGUGAGCAAAUUCUGUCUCGUGCAGUGUGUCAACAAGGAGGUGAGGGUUCCUGGUUUGAGCCUACCUGGUUCCUGGAUGUAUCGUCUGACAACAUUCUCUCUCAGCCUGGACGAUCAGCGUAAAGAACUGAUGACUGGCGAUACCUGUCACUCGCAGUACUACAAAGUGCCCAAAGCAACCACCAAGUCGUUACUCGUUCAAGAUCCUGUGGCAUUUUGGAUGUAG
rnacentral:rRNA from 1 species